UCCGAGUUGACCCCGGCAGUCUCCCAUGAGUCCCCGGCAUAACCCGCUGGCAACAUGGAACGAGGGUUGCGCUCGUUGCGGGACUUAACCCAACAUCUCACGACACGAGCUGACGUCAGCCAUGCACCACCUGUGCACGGCCCUUACGGACCCCCCAUCUCUGGAGGAUUUCCGUGCAUGUCAAGCCUAGGUAAGGUUCUUCGCGUUGCAUCGAAUUAAUCCGCAUGCUCCGCCGCUUGUGCGGGCCCCCGUCAAUUCCUUUGAGUUUUAGCCUUGCGGCCGUACUCCCCAGGCGGAACACUUAUCGCGUUGGCUACGGCACCGAGGGAUUCGACUCCCCCAACACCUAGUGUUCAUCGUUUACGGCAUGGACUAC
rnacentral:misc_RNA from 1 species